UACGGGGGGAGCAAGCGUUGUUCGGAUUUACUGGGCGUAAAGCGUGCGCAGGCGGUUUCACAAGCUCGAUGUGAAAGCCCCGGGCUUAACCUGGGAAUGGCAUUGAGGACUGUGGAGCUUGAGUGCGGCAGAGGGAGGUGGAAUUCCACGUGUAGCAGUGAAAUGCGUAGAGAUGUGGAGGAACACCGAUGGCGAAGGCAGCCUCCUGGGCCGACACUGACGCUCAUGCACGAAAGCGUGGGGAGCAAACAGG
rnacentral:rRNA from 1 species